GCAGGACUGGUGCGAGUCCAGGAUGUGGUGGUGGUUGGGGGCCACUGACGUCCGCAAGGGCUCCAGCCCAGAACCUCUCCUCUACGUAGUUACCACUAUGUGCCCCGAAAGGACCCAGAGCCAUCCAACGUCCAGUCUUGGCAGGGCGACCAGGAGUGGAAAGCCUUGGGAGGCUGGGCGCGUGUGACCUGCAGUGAGCACAAAACACUCGCCGUGUGGUCCUGGGAUCCUAGGGAAGGUUCCGGAGACCCGGGUUCCAGCACGGCCCUGGGAAUCACUAGCUCUAUCUGGAACCUGUCAGGAAACAUGACUUGUCCCUCCCACGUCUUCCCAGAAUCGAGAGAUGCACAGUCUCAGACGGGCAGAAGAGCCUCGGACCAUUACAUGCUCAAAGCCAGAUCACCAACUCACCAGCUUGCUAAAUUUACCAAACAUGCCUUGAAGACUAGCUUUCUUGAAGAUGUUCAGUGACUAUGAAUAUGGCCUUCUUAAUAAAUUGGUCUUAAAUAUA